rnacentral:rRNA from 1 species
GAUGUACGCUAGCUACAGGCUUAACACAUGCAUGUCGAGGGACCGGCGCACGGGUGAGUAACACGUAUCCAACCUGCCCUUUACUCGGGGAUAGCCUUUCGAAAGAAAGAUUAAUACCCGAUAUAAAGGAUGGGGAUGCGUUCCAUUAGGUUGUUGGUGAGGUAAAGGCCCACAAAGCCUUUGAUGGAUAGGGGUACUGAGAGGAAGGUCACCCACGUUGGAACUGGGCCACGUGCCAAACUCCUACAGGAGGCAGCAGUGAGGAAUAUUGGUCAAUGGGCGUUAGCCUGAACCAGCCAAGUAGCGUGAAGGAUGAAGGCUUAUGGGUCGUAAACUUCUUUUAUAUACGAAUAUGUAUUAAAUGAAUAAGGAUCGGCUAACUCCGUGCCAGCAGCCGCAGUAAUAC